CUCGGUUCCAAAGCCACAAAUAAACUGAACUCUGCAAAUAACUUAAUAGAGCUUAGAAAGCUACAGAUAAGAAGCUUGGAGCAUACCUUUCUGACAUAUUAAGCAGGAACUCAGACUUAUACCGUGUCCUGUGGGUGCAGGAGAAGUUGGACAUCACCCCUGCCCCAGUCUCAGUGGAUCAACGUGUUUUCACUGAUUAAAAUGGGGAGCUUUAAAAACCAGACAAAAGAAGAAACAAAAACUAAAACCAAACCUUGAAGAUAAAUAUUUUCCUAUCACCUGCAUUCAAGUCUGCGUCGGUGAGGGAAUCUACAGAAAGUCCAAGGAAUGCGUAAUAAAGUUAGAAGGUAUACUUGCCAAUACAUCAACAAUUCAUUUUUAAAAUAAGAAAUUUUCAAUUGCAAGAAUUAUCUUCAAUUUUAUAAAUCAUCUUUAAUUUUUUAAAAAAUUGAGAUUAUGGAAAUAUAAUCUCUAGCACUGAACUACAUCUCCAGCCCUCUACUUGUCUUCUUCAUAAGACCUGGAAUGAAGACCCA
rnacentral:lncRNA from 1 species